UACGAAGGGUGCAAGCGUUACUCGGAAUUACUGGGCGUAAAGGGUGCGUAGGUGGUUUGUUAAGUCUGCUGUGAAAUCCCCGGGCUCAACCUGGGAAUGGCAGUGGAUACUGGCAAGCUAGAGUGCGGUAGAGGGGCGUGGAAUUCCGGGUGGAGCGGUGAAAUGCGUAGAGAUCCGGAGGAACACCGACGGCGAAGGCAGCGCCCUGGCCGCCAUCUGACGCUCAGGCACGAAAGCUGGGGGAGCGAACAGG
rnacentral:rRNA from 1 species